GUCACAGCUCACUGCAGCCUCGAAAUUCUGGGUCCAAGUAAUCUUUCCACCUCAGCCUCAAUCCUAAGUUUUCUAUCCACUAAUAUUGUAUCCUUUUAUUUGCUCAAUCUUGUGAUGUGUUCUUAAAUAGGAUUCUAUGGUUUUCUUCACAUAGAUCUAGUUCUGUUCUGACAAAAUAUUUUACAUUUGUAGUUAUUGUUACUAAGGAUUUGAUGUUUCCCACAAUUUCAUUUCUAACUGGUUACUACUAGCAGAUGGAAAAUAUGUUAAUUUUCAUAUAUUUAUCUUCAAUCAAGCCACUUUACCAAAUUCUCUAAUUAAUUAUAGAAGUUAUUGAUAAGAGUCUCUUGGGUUUAAAUGGUUAUAAUUGUAUGAUUUAUAAAUAGAUUUAAUUUUUUUUUCAAUAUUCACUCUGAUGAUUUAAUUUUUUUUUUCUUCAAAGAAGGAGAACAAAAAGGUGACAGAAGGCACCCGUGUAUUGUUCCUGAUUUGGAUGGAUGUACUGUGUAGAUUUUGGUGCCUGUCCAGGUCAAAGGAAGCACCUUCUCUGUGUGUACCAGACAUUUCCAGCUUGGCCCUCCCAGAACUUCGCCCCACCCCUUCAUGGUAUGGAUUUCAGAAACCAGAUCUAACUCCAGCUGAAGGUCGAAGGAGUUUAUGGAAUAAUCUAUGUGGAUGUGGGCAUCCUAGAACGAGGCUUUCCUCUUCUGUUCUGAAUUCAUGGGGAGCUUUAGGAAGCUGCAGCUGUGUGUGAGAAGGCUUCUCAGAGAUACUGUGGAGUUCAAGGCUCAGGAAUCCAUACUUGGGAGAAUGAAGUUAAUAUGGAUGCUGCAUUCACCUGGUUCAGGAAAUCCUGCUUUCCUCUCAGCCUCAUCCUGGAGAGGCAUUGAGAAAGCAGCCUCAUUAGGAGCAAUGGCUGGAAGUAGACUGCCUACCUUUACAUCAGGGCCUGACCUUGUACUAGGAGCCGCCCACCGACUGUUUGACAGGCACAAACUGGAGUUCUUUCCACACGGCGUGGCAGGGCCACGGAGAAGCCGCUUCUGGGUAAUUAAACAAUUAGCUCCUUGCACUCUUCCUGCAGGAACAAAUCCGGGCCCCCAUGGCAUCUGUCCCCUCCUGUUCCUCCAGCUGGCCUCCUUGCCACGCGCACACCCUCUCCGGAACCAGGCCCGGCUGCCUGCGCCCCCCUCCCUUCCACUUCCGCCACCAGAAGGGGCGCGGGGAGGCCGGGCUGGAGGGGAGGGCCCAAGGCUCACGGGGGCUGGGUGACUGCCGCCCCAGCACGCGUGCCCCUGAACUUGUCUUCAAAGUUCUCCUACGGGGUUGGCAGCCCCCUCUUGAAAGCUGCUCCGUAGCCGAGGCAGCAUAUGGACUGUUGACAGAGCAGCUGCUGGGGAAGAAGACGCUGAAAGGAAGCCUCGAGGGAUAAACAGGAGAAACCCAUGUCACCACGUGGCACCCCAGGCGCGCCUCAAUGCAGCAGCUCGUUCACUCUCAUCUCCUUCCGGGGGCGAGGAAAGUGGUUUUGGACUGCUGUGCUCGAUUGUCUGCUCUUAAAAUAAUGAACAUCAUUAUCAUCCUAAUGAGAAUGAGUAUGACAAUGAUAGCUAACAGUUGUGCCAGCCAGUUCUCUAAAUGAUUUCAGGUGCGUUGUUCCAUGUGCUCCUUCAAACCGCCCUCUGAAGAAAGAACUGUUAUUAUUCCCAUUUUGUAGAUGAAAAAACCAAGGCUAGAGAGCUUAAGGAUUUUAUGCUAGUCACAGGGCUAGUAAGUGACCCAAGUCUUGUGCCAAAGCCUUCACUCUUAAUCACUGUGAUUUCCUAUUACAAGCAUUUUGAGUGUCAGACCACUGUAGUAGGGCGGAUAAUUAAGAUGCGUGGUGUCGUGUGAUUUACAAAGCAAUGGCUGCAUUCAUUCUCUUAUCUGACCUCCAGAGAGCAGGGACAGGUGAGAGUCAUCUCUGUACUCCCAGCCUCUAGAACUGGGUCUGGCACAGAAGCAUACAGUGAAUUAGAGGAAUAAUACAUGAAUCAAUCAAUCAAUCAACCCUGGGAAGUGCUUUCACAUUCAUUUUGCAGGUGAGAAAACAGGCUCUUCAGAGAGUUUUGCCUGAAACCACAUAAUAAUAAACUUGGUUGAGAGGAGAUUUGAACUCUGAUCUUCAGACCACAGGUCCUGUCCUCCCUCUUUCCUACCUGGAAUGUAUCAGGUUGAGUGGGGGAGAAGUCUGGGUUGGGGUGGGACAGGGAAAGAACAUAAAACCACGAGUGUGGUUUAUUUCAGAGUUGCUUGCGGAUAACUUAAUAAAUCCCCAGGGUAGAGAGCUUGAAGAGUAUUGUUUCAAAUGACAUCUAGAUUGAGCAAAAAGAUGUUAAUUUUUUUUUCCUGUCCCGAGCCCUGUCUACAACCUGAUCCCCAGUGGCCCCAGGAAGCUGCGGGUCUGUCAAAUGCCGUUUCCCCAGGUGGAUCAGUGAUCCCAGUUGGGGAUCUGGACCUUCCAGACGUGAAGGCAGAAGUGAAGAGCCCAUUCAUCACAUUGAAAGCUGAUACCUGACAGAGAUUCAAUCCCAUCUUGAUGCUGGAAACUUGGAGAGAAAUGGAGUGGUUUAAUUUUCUCA